GUCGAACGCUGGCGGCGUGCUUAACACAUGCAAGUCGAACGAAGUGGCGAACGGGUGAGUAACGCGUAAUCAACCUGCCCUUCAGAGGGGGACAACAGUUGGAAACGACUGCUAAUACCGCAUACUGAAGGAGGGGAUUGCGUCUGAUUAGCUGGUUGGAGGGGUAACGGCCCAACAAGGCGAUGAUCAGUAGCCGGGCUGGGGGGAUGAACGGCCACAUUGGGACUGAGACACGGCCCAGACUCCUACGGGGGGCAGCAGUGGGGAAUCUUCCGCAAAGGGCGAAAGUCUGACGGAGCAACGCCGCGGGGGUGAUGACGGCCUUCGGGUUGUAAAGCUCUGUUAAUCGGGACGCGGUACCGGAAUAGAAAGCCACGGCUAACUACGUGCCAGCAGCCGCGGUAAUUC
rnacentral:rRNA from 1 species